UACGGAGGGUGCAAGCGUUAUCCGGAUUCACUGGGUUUAAAGGGUGCGUAGGCGGGCUUGUAAGUCAGUGGUGAAAGCCCGGGGCUCAACUCCGGAAUUGCCGUUGAUACUGCAAGCCUUGAGUACGGUUGAGGUGGGCGGAAUACAUCAUGUAGUGGUGAAAUACUUAGAUAUGAUGUAGAACACCGAUUGCGAAGGCAGCUCACUAAAGCGUAACUGACGCUGAGGCACGAAAGCAUGGGGAUCAAACAGG
rnacentral:rRNA from 1 species